rnacentral:tRNA from 1 species
UCCCUGGUAGCUUAUGCAAUAAAGAAUCUACCUACAAUGCAGAAGACCCAGGUUCGAUCCCUGGGUGGGGAA